GUAUCCAAGAGUCACAUUCAAUUGCUCUGCGCCUUCUGUUACAACAAUGCCAAGAUUGAUGAGAGUUUGAAUCAUAGAUCCUGGCUCAGAGGGGGCCACCUGCAGAUCAUCAGUUACUAGAAAAUGCAGUCCUUCCACAAGAAUCCCAUCACCACCAGCUUGAGUCCAUGUCUUCACAUCUGAAGUGCUUUUCUGGUCCAUUCAUGAAUGAGUUUCUUGGAUUGAGUAGCAUCUUCUUACCACCAUCUGUCCAGAAAUGGCCGCUUUCAAUAUUCGUUAAGCCCGUGUACAGUGUGUUUAAGCUUCCAACAACGGGUUUCUCAUCCUCGUAUCUCUCAUUCAAGACCCUCACAAUCUCCCCCAACGGCAAUAUCAGAAAACUUAGUAUAACCUCUGCAGAUUUGCUGUCGGCUUCUGCAAAGAGUACCUUCGUUUUCUCUUUAUUCACCAUAACUUUCAGGGACAUCUUUACAUCCUUGGGUAUUGCAGACCUCAUGUUUGGCUCUACAAGCGACGAAAUCUCAGAGACGCUAUCAGCAGGGGAAAUUUUAAGCCACUAAUAUUGUGUAUUGAAUUGAAUGGCUUAGUGAAUGAAUGGUGUAUAUUCAUAACUUAGUAGUAUCAACUAUUUUUUCUCCAUAUUUGUUUCUCACAUAACUAAGACAUAAA